rnacentral:rRNA from 1 species
CCAGAGUCCUACGGGAGGCAGCAGUGGGGAAUCUUCCGCAAUGGACGAAAGUCUGACGGAGCAACGCCGCGUGAGUGAUGACGGCCUUCGGGUUGUAAAGCUCUGUUAAUCGGGACGAAUGGCCUUUGUGCGAAUAGUGAGAAGGAUUGACGGUACCGGAAUAGAAAGCCACGGCUAACUACGUGCCAGCAGCCGCGGUAAUACGUAGGUGGCAAGCGUUGUCCGGAAUUAUUGGGCGUAAAGCGCGCGCAGGCGGAUAGGUCAGUCUGUCUUAAAAGUUCGGGGCUUAACCCCGUGAUGGGAUGGAAACUGCCAAUCUAGAGUAUCGGAGAGGAAAGUGGAAUUCCUAGUGUAGCGGUGAAAUGCGUAGAUAUUAGGAAGAACACCAGUGGCGAAGGCGACUUUCUGGACGAAAACUGACGCUGAGGCGCGAAAGCCAGGGGAGCGAACGGGAUUAGAUACCCCGGUAGUCCUGGCCGUAAACGAUGGGUACUAGGUGUAGGAGGUAUCGACACCUUCUGUGCCGGAGUUAACGCAAUAAGUACCCCGCCUGGGGA